CACACACACACACAUAUAUACAGUAAUACUGUUUUAUUUACGGUCCAUAGACCAUCAGUGUAUAUAUAUCGCUUCUCGGUCUUUUGGCUAAGAUCAAGUGUAGUAUAUAUACUAUAUAUAUAUAUAUUCGAAGUGGUAGAUGUGCAUGAAGCCCAUAGGAGUAGAUCAACAACAAAUCGGAUAGGAUAGGAAAGGAUAUUCCGAAUGUCACCUCUCCACCCACCCCACCUACAUCACUAGGCCAGCAGGAAAUAGGGGGAGUUUGAGGCUGUCGAGCUCCCUUGCCUCUUUGCAGACGACAGUGUGCAACCUCUGUGCUUCUUUUUUGCAGAGAAGGAAGCUACCUGUGGCAACGUUCCACCCCUCUGCCCUGCACACACCGUUUCACCAUGAAGCCCAUCCUGUUUGUUGCUGCCGUUCUGCUCAUCAAUCUAGCUCUGGCUGUUGAUAAUAAUAAGGUAGCCAAUCCUCCAGCUGACAAAAAUCAAACUACUCCUAUCACACCUACCCCUCAGAGUACUGCAAGCAAUCGCCAAGUCAUGUGCAGUGACGGCCCAGCUUCCUUUCUCAUACCACUUGUACUGGUGAUGGCGUGUCUCGCUCCAGUAUACUGAGCCUGGAGGGCAUGAUCUUGAAAGCCUCUGAGCCCCAAUGAAGCUUCAAGAAAUGAGUCUUUUCUAAUCCAGCCAGCAUAUUCAUUUAUUCAUUCAUUUAGUCAGCCCAUAAUGCUGCACCGUCUGCCAUUCUCUACAACUCAUGAUUUCGUGGCACUUGCAAAAUUAAAGAGGAAAGCAAAGGGAGAGCUGUUGCGGUACAUCCCAGAUGCAUGCAUUCCUAUAGAGCUGAUUGAUGUUCAGAAAGAAGAUGAUUCCCAGACAGAAUUCCACUUCAAAAAGACAUUUUGAAACCGAUAGAUAAUCCUUCUGAUGUCUCCCCCUGUGCCAUCAUUGACAAGUCACCAUAUCCAUCAGGAACUUUCUCUCGGGCAGACUGCCUAGGAAUGGACCGGUGCUGUGCAUUAACACCGCAACCCUAUUUUGUAUAUUUCCCGUUUGUUUCCGCGGAGACAACUGUCUCAGUCCCAUUGACUGAGAGCUGCCUCUCCAUCUACUCCUUCCAACCUGUUAAAUGAAGGGACUUUCUUGGCUUGUCCCAUGAGAUGAUCAUCUGCCGCAGUUUUUGGAAACCUGCCCUCAAGAUGACAUUGGAGGAAGCAUUCUCCAAUAUUUGGGAAAGUGUGUAGACAACACUCUUGGCUCACAUCAAGGCAAAGUGGAGUUUGCAAAUGUUUUCGUCGGCGUCUCUUGCAACCUUCCCGCACAAAGUUUGAAUCUGUUUAAUAAAUACAUGCUUCUUGGCUGGCUAA